rnacentral:misc_RNA from 1 species
AGAAUUCAGAGACAAAAGGUGGUUGGUGAAGCUGACAUUGGACUCCAUUCUGCUUAAUUGCCUAACCCCAUCUCCCUUCAAUCUACCUACCAUAACCAUUUUCUUCAAAAUUUUCUCAAAAAAACAAUUUGGUCUUCAAACAACUCCAAGAACACAGAGAGAGAGUGGAAAAACUGAAGUUUUUCACAAGAAAUGGCACAGAUUAGUAGCAUGGCACAAGGGAUACAGACCCUUAGUCUGAAUUCCUCCAAUCUUUCUAAAACACAAAAGGGUCCUCUUGUUUCAAAUUCUCUCUUCUUUGGAUCAAAGAAAGUAACCCAAAUUUCAGCAAAAUCAUUAGGGGUGUUUAAGAAAGAUUCAGUUUUGAGGGUGGUGAGGAAGUCAUCUUUUAGGAUUUCUGCAUCAGUGGCUACUGCAGAGAAACCCCAUGAGAUUGUGCUAGAACCCAUCAAAGAUAUAUCUGGUACUGUUAAAUUACCCGGUUCGAAAUCCCUUUCCAAUCGUAUUCUCCUUCUUGCUGCCCUUUCUGAGGGAAGGACUGUUGUUGACAAUUUACUGAGUAGUGACGACAUUCAUUACAUGCUUGGUGCGUUGAAAACACUUGGACUUCAUGUUGAAGAUGACAAUGAAAACCAACGAGCAAUUGUGGAAGGUUGUGGUGGGCAGUUUCCUGU